UGGUCCAUUCACUAGGCCCUAAACAGGCCUUCAAUGCAGGAGGAACUAUUCCUAAAUCAUUGAAAUCUGUAAAAGAAACCGUGGUAUCCAUGCUUCAACUUAAAUCAGAAACAGCUGGGGCUGAAAAUCAAAACAGGGAUUUUCUUCAUCAUUGGUGUGGUGCUAAAUGCAGCUGCCCAGGACCUUGCCAUGCUCAUUAUAGGAAGGAUCUUCCUGGGGUGUGGAGUCGGCUUCGCUAAUCAGGUCUUUUUCUAGUUCCACUUCUAAUUUAUUCUUUAUUUUAUUUUAAUUCAAUUCUGUUUAAUCAACGAAUCUGGCCCACCACCAAUUUCCCAUUUCGAAUUAUGGUGGUGGUGCGGACCGGAAUUCACAAUCCAUCUUGGGCUAGCUGGGAUCCCAACCCUCCUCCUGACCGUCGGCUCCAUUCUGGUUGUCGACACUCCUAACAACCUCAUAGAGUGUGGCCACCUAAAAAAAGGGAAGGCAGUGCUCAAGAAGAUCUGUGGAACCAGCAAUAUUGAGCCCAAGUUCCUGGAGCUUGUGGAGGCAAGCUGUGUGGCCAAGGAAGUAAAGCACCCAUUCAGGAACCUCCUCAAGCGACGCAACCGCCCACAGCUGAUUAUUGAUGUGGUCAUGCAGUGAUCCAUUGCAGUACCAAACACCCACAAUGAUUAACGAUGUGGGUCAUCUUCAUUGGUAAUGCUAGUGCCCAGUUUCUGGAA